GAUGAACGCUGGCGGCGCGCCUAACACAUGCAAGUCGAACGAUUAAAGCACCUUCGGGUGUGUAUAAAGUGGCGAACGGCUGAGUAACACGUGGGCAACCUGCCCCUCUCAUUGGGAUAGCCACGGGAAACCGUGGAUAAUACCGAAUACUUCGGGACUUCCGCAUGGAAGACUCGAGAAAGCUCCGGCGGAGAGGGAUGGGCCCGCGGCCUGUUAGCUUGUUGGUGGGGUAAUGGCCUACCAAGGCAAUGAUGGGUAGCUGGGUUGAGAGACCGACCAGCCAGAUUGGGACUGAGACACGGCCCAGACUCCUACGGGAGGCAGCAGUGGGGAAUCUUGCACAAUGGGCGAAAGCCUGAUGCAGCGACGCCGCGUGCGGGAUGAAAGCCUUCGGGUUGUAAACCGCUUUCAGCAGGGACGAGGCGAAAGUGACGGUACCUGCAGAAGAAGCCCCGGCUAACUACGUG
rnacentral:rRNA from 1 species